UACGAAGGGGGCUAGCGUUGCUCGGAAUCACUGGGCGUAAAGCGCACGUAGGCGGCUUCUUAAGUCAGGGGUGAAAUCCUGGGGCUCAACCCCAGAACUGCCCUUGAUACUGAGGAGCUUGAGUCCGGGAGAGGUGAGUGGAACUCCGAGUGUAGAGGUGAAAUUCGUAGAGAUUCGGAAGAACACCAGUGGCGAAGGCGGCUCACUGGCCCGGUACUGAUGCUGAGGUGCGAAAGUGUGGGGAGCAAACAGG
rnacentral:rRNA from 1 species